rnacentral:rRNA from 1 species
AUUGAACGCUGGCGGCAUGCUUUACACAUGCAAGUCGAACGGUAACAGGUUAAGCUGACGAGUGGCGAACGGGUGAGUAAUGCAUCGGAACGUGCCCGGUCGUGGGGGAUAACGCAGCGAAAGCUGCGCUAAUACCGCAUACGAUCUGAGGAUGAAAGCGGGGGACCGUAAGGCCUCGCGCGAUCGGAGCGGCCGAUGUCAGAUUAGGUAGUUGGUGGGGUAAAGGCUCACCAAGCCGACGAUCUGUAGCUGGUCUGAGAGGACGACCAGCCACACUGGGACGGAGAAACGGCCCAGACUCCGACGGGAGGCAGCAGUGGGGAAUUUUGGACAAUGGGCGAAAGCCUGAUCCAGCAAUGCCGCGUGCAGGAAGAAGGCCUUCGGGUUGUAAACUGCUUUUGUACGGAGCGAAAAGGCUCUCUCUAAUACAGGGGGCUCAUGACGGUACCGUAAGAAUAAGCACCGGCUAACUACGUGCCAGCCGCCGCAGUAA